AGUAGGUUGGCGAUAGAGCGCUUCGUUCACAUCGAAGAUGUCGGGGGUUCAAAUCCCUCAUCACCCA
rnacentral:tRNA from 1 species